GACGAACGCUGGCGGCGUGCCUAAUACAUGCAAGUUGAACGCUAAAGCUUUAACUGGUGCUUGCACCGACUUAAGUUUUUAGAGUAGCGGACGGGUGAGUAACACGUGGGUAACCUGCCCAUCAGAGGGGGAUAACACUUGGAAACAGGUGCUAAUACCGCAUAAUUCCUUUUACCGCAUGGUAAAAGGCUGAAAGGCGCUUCUGGUGUCACUGAUGGAUGGACCCGCGGUGCAUUAGCUAGUCGGUGGGGUAACGGCCUACCGAGGCGAUGAUGCAUAGCCGACCUGAGAGGGUGAUCGGCCACAUUGGGACUGAGACACGGCCCAAACUCCUACGGGAGGCAGCAGUAGGGAAUCUUCGGCAAUGGACGAAAGUCUGACCGAGCAACGCCGCGUGAGUGAAGAAGGUUUUCGGAUCGUAAAACUCUGUUGUAAGGGAAGAACACGUACGAGAGGUAAUGCUCGUACCUUGACGGUACCUUACGAGAAAGCCACGGCUAACUACGUGCCAGCCGCCGCAGUAACAC
rnacentral:rRNA from 1 species